UGCGUAGGCGGUUUAUUAAGUCAGAUGUGAAAGCCCGGGCUUAACCUGGGAACUGCAUUUGAUACUGGUAGACUAGAGUAUGGUAGAGGGGGUAGAAUUCCUAGUGUAGCGGUGAAAUGCGUAGAUAUUAGGAGGAAUACCAGUGGCGAAGGCGGCCCCCUGGACCAAUACUGACGCUGAGGUACGAAAGCGUGGGUAGCGAACA
rnacentral:rRNA from 1 species